UGCAGAGGUGGCAAGCGUUGUUCGGAAUUACUGGGCGUAAAGGGCGCGUAGGCGGCUUGGUCAGUCCCGUGUGAAAUCCCUCGGCUCAACUGAGGAACUGCACGGGAAACUGCCUGGCUUGAGUUCGGGAGAGGGAAGCGGAAUUCCGGGUGUAGCGGUGAAAUGCGUAGAUAUCCGGAGGAACACCGGUGACGAAGGCGGCUUCCUGGACCGACACUGACGCUGAGGCGCGAAAGCUAGGGGAGCAAACGGG
rnacentral:rRNA from 1 species